UACGGAGGAUGCAAGCGUUAUCCGGAAUCAUUGGGCGUAAAGCGUCUGUAGGUGGCUUCUUAAGUCCGCUUGUCAAAGACCAGGGCUCAACCCUGGGCAGGCAGUGGAAACUAAGAAGCUUGAGUGCGGUAGGGGCAGAGGGAAUUCCCGGUGUAGCGGUGAAAUGCGUAGAUAUCGGGAAGAACACCAACGGCGAAGGCACUCUGCUGGGCCGACACUGACACUAAGAGACGAAAGCUAGGGUAGCGAAUGGGAUUAGAUACCCGGUAGUCC
rnacentral:rRNA from 1 species